AGAAUGAACGCUGGCGGCGUGCUUUACACAUGCAAGUCGAGCGAGGCGGCCCGCAAGGGUCAGUCGAGCGGCGAACGGGUGAGUAACGCGUGGAUAACCUGCCCUGAGGUGUGGAACAACCAGGGGAAACUCUGGCUAAUACCGCAUGAUACCGAGAGGUCAAAGGGGGCUCGCAAGAGCUCUCGCCACAGGAGGGGUCCGCGUUCGAUUAGCUAGUUGGUAGGUAAUGGCCUACCGAAGGCGACGAUCGAUAGCCGGCCUGAGAGGGUGAUCGGCCACACUGGAACUGACGACACGGUCCAGACCUCCGUACGAGGAGGCAGCCAGGUGGGGUAAUUUGCGACAAGUGGGACUAACCGCUCGGACGCGAGACGAACGCCGCGUGGA
rnacentral:rRNA from 1 species